AAAAAUUUCUAUAUAACUUUAAAAAAAUAUAAUAAUAAUUAUUUAAUUUAAAAAAUUAUUAAAAAAAUUAAUUAUUAUUAAAUUAUUAUUCCAUUAUUUAUAAAAUAUACAAAUAAUAAUAAAAAAUAAAAUUAUUUUAUUAUUUAUUAAUUAAAUUCUUUUUAAUUUAAUAAAAAAAUAAAAAUUAAAAAAAUCAUAAUUUUUUUUAGUUAUUUCGGGGGAUAUAACUAUUAAUAUAAAUUAAAUUUAAUUAUUUAGUUAAAUCUAGGGGGAUAAUAAUUAAUUAAUAAAAUUUAAUUUAUAGAAAAUAUUUAAUUAUUUUUGAUAAUUAUUAAUUGAUUAAUUUUUAAUUUUAUUAAAUAAUUUAUUAAAAAUAGUAAAAUAUUAAUUAUAUUAGUUUAUCUAAGGGGGAUUUAAUUAUAUAAUAUUUUUAAUAAAUUAUUUAAAGAAUUAAUUAAAAUAAUUAUUUUUAAAAUAUUUAAUUAUAAUUAUAUAUUGAUUAAUUCUUCCAAAAAUUAAUGAAAAUAUUAGGGGAUUGAUAUUAUUUCUUUAAAAUUUUUGGUUUAAUGGUGGGAAACAUCCGAAAUUUACUAUUCCGUUUGUAAUAUUUAAUAAAAUAAAGUUUAAUUUUAACUUAAAAAGUUUAUUUAUAGUUUAUUUUACAUGUAAGUUUUUGUAAGAAUUGAUAUUUAUUUUAAUAAUAAAUAUUUUAAUUUUAUUCUCAGUAAUUAAUUUUAAUUAUAAAAGAAAUUUUGAAUUAGUAAAUUAUAUAGUAUUAGUAAAAAUUGUGCCAGCAACUGCGGUUAUACAAUUAAUACAAAUGAAUUUUAUUAUCUGAAGUUAAAAUGAAAAUUAAUAAUUUAUAAUUAAAUUUAUAAGGUUAAAUUUUAAAUUUAAAAAAUAAUUUAUAAAAAAAAUUAUUUUAAGCUUAGAAAUUUUUAUUAUAAACUAGGAUUAGAUACCCUAUUAUUAAAAAUGUAAAUAUCAAGGAUAGGGUAGUAUUAGUUAUAUUCUUAAAACUUAAUAAAUUUGGCGGUAUUUUAAUCUAUUCAGAGGAACUUGUUUUAUAAUUGAUAAUCCUCACUAUAUCUUACUUAAUUUUGUUUAAUUUGUAUACCAUCGUCAUAAGAAUCUCUUAAAAAAGAAAAAAUUUUCUAAAAUAUUAAUUAGUAAAAAUGUCAGAUCAAGGUGCAGUUUAUGAUUAAGAAAAAAUGAGUUACAAUAAAUUUAUUUAUUUAUGGAUUUAAUUUUUAAAUAAAUUAAUGAAAGUGGAUUUGAUAGUAAAAUAAUAUAUAGAAAUUAUUUGAUUUUAGUUCUAAAAUAUGCACAUAUCGCCCGUCGCUCUCGUUAUUUAAAAUGAGAUAAGUCGUAACAUAGUAGAAGUACUGGAAAGUGUUUCUAGUUUA
rnacentral:ncRNA from 1 species